AUACGGAGGAUCCGAGCGUUAUCCGGAUUUAUUGGGUUUAAAGGGAGCGUAGGCGGACGCUUAAGUCAGUUGUGAAAGUUUGCGGCUCAACCGUAAAAUUGCAGUUGAUACUGGGUGACUUGAGUACAGUAGAGGCAGGCGGAAUUCGUGGUGUAGCGGUGAAAUGCUUAGAUAUCACGAAGAACUCCGAUUGCGAAGGCAGCCUGCUGGACUGUAACUGACGCUGAUGCUCGAAAGUGUGGGUAUCAAACAGGAUUAGAUACCCUGGUAGUCCACACAGUAAACGAUGAAUACUCGCUGUUUGCGAUAUACAGUAAGCGGCCAAGCGAAAGCGUUAAGUAUUCCACCUGGGGAGUACGCCGGCAACGGUGAAACUCAAAGGAAUUGACGGGG
rnacentral:rRNA from 1 species